UUCAGACCACUUUUCUCUCAACCCUCUCAAGGCAUUUGACAAGGAAAAUGGUAGUUUUGCUUCCACUUGUUUUCUUUUCAGCAGCAUUUGGAGGUGUCCAAUCAGAAGUCCAGCUGGUUGAGUCUGGAGGAGAUGUCAAAAGACCUGGGGAUUCCCUUCGCCUCUCCUGUCAAGCCUCUGGGUUCACCUUCAGCAGCUAUUGGAUGCACUGGGUGAGACAGGCUCCUGGGAAGGGACUGGAAUGGAUGGCAAGGAUAAGCAGCGGUGAAGGGACCUCACAAUAUUAUGCUAACUCAGUGAAAGGGCGCUUCACCAUCUCUAGGAACAACCCUUCAAGCAUGCUGUAUCUGCAAAUGAAUAACCUAAAAGCCGAGGACACGGCUGUGUAUUACUGUGCAAGAGACACAGUGAAAGGAAGUGAAUCUGAAGGCUGCUCAAAACCUUCCUUUGCUCUUUGCAGCACUAGGAGGUGUUUUAAAUGUUCAACUCUACUGGAUUGA